rnacentral:rRNA from 1 species
UACGGAGGGGGCUAGCGUUGUUCGGAAUUACUGGGCGUAAAGCGCACGUAGGCGGCUUUGUAAGUUAGAGGUGAAAGCCCAGGGCUUAACCCUGGAAUUGCCUUUAAGACUGCAUCGCUAGAAUCGUGGAGAGGUGAGUGGAAUUCCGAGUGUAGAGGUGAAAUUCGUAGAUAUUCGCAAGAACACCAGUGGCGAAGGCGGGUCUCUGGGCCGAUACUGACACUGAGGAGCGAAAGCGUGGGGAGCGAACAGG